rnacentral:rRNA from 1 species
UACGUAGGGGGCAAGCGUUGUCCGGAUUUAUUGGGCGUAAAGAGCGUGUAGGCGGCUUUACAGGUCCGUUGUGAAAACUCGAGGCUCAACCUCGAGACGCCGGUGGAAACCGUAAAGCUAGAGUCCGGAAGAGGAGAGUGGAAUUCCUGGUGUAGCGGUGAAAUGCGCAGAUAUCAGGAGGAACACCCGUGGCGAAAGCGGCUCUCUGGGACGGUACUGACGCUGAGACGCGAAAGCGUGGGGAGCAACCAGG